rnacentral:lncRNA from 12 species
GUACCUGUGUUCCUACACAAGAAGACCCAUUNNNNNNNNNNNNUGUCCCGAGCCGGGAGGACCGCGGGGCUCAGGUUCAUCGGGGUUCCAGGCGCUCCCUCGGGAGCCCUCCCUGCCCGGGGCCCACACCGCCCAGGCCCGCCCGCAGCCCCUCCCGGGCGUCGGCGGCCCCGCCUGCCGGGUCGGGUCGGGUCGAGUCGGGUCGGGUCCGGUCGGGAUCCGGCGGACGCGGCCCCCUUCCCACCCCGUCCGCGUGCGGCCGCCUGCAGCAGGGCUUCGCGGUGGCGCGGUCGGGCGGGUCUGCGCGGCGCCGGGCAGGUGCUCCACGCGCCCUGCACCAAGGAACGAGCGACGGACGCCGAGCGCCGGCUGACGGGCGCGGACUGGAGCGUCGGCCUUUCUGCCCGAGUCCAUCCCUGCCGCCGCCUGCCUGGCCUGUCCUGGCCUAUCUGCCCCGCACUGGCCUCACUGAGAGCAUUAAAAGCAGACAAAGCUUAGUCAUUAGAGAAGUUGCUCUAAGCAGAAGGGGAACUGAUUCGCUGUGGCCAAGAAAUGUCUCUGCAUCUGUCUCUUCACAUCUGAGUUGCAUUUUUCCCCCAGAAGAAACCACAAAAAAUACCAACUACAACUGCACCAAAGGCUCCUGAGGCAGAUGCCGUGAGUGGUUGGGGAGGCAGGGCUGUCGUGGAGUUGUGGUUGAAUCACCUCCAGGACCAGUAGGAGGUCACCAGACUUCUUUCCUUAGAGACAUUUACUUCUCUUCAACUCCAUUGUAAGAAGUGUUGCCAGGGUGAGAUGAACUCAAUUUGCUCCUGGCCUGUUGCUUUACUUUUUUUUUUCCUCUGCUGUUUGGAAGUGUGGAUGGUCUGGGCUGUGCUAACUGUGUGGAGCAAAGACCUCACCUGUUGUUGUUUGUGGAUUUUCAUGAAAACCAGGAUGUGUGUCAGAGAACCACCCCUGUAUGCAGUCUUCUGAAGCAAAGGGGUCAAGGAAUCCAGGAGGGAAAACCUGGCCUGAGGAAAAUAUUCACAUCCUCUGACAAUGUUGAGCUACAAGCGCAUUCAGCCAAUUCCAAACAUCUAUUAAGCACUUUUGUACCAGAGCACCACUAAGUGUUAGACAGGGUACCAGCAAUGGAGAGAAGACAGAGAGAAAGCCAGGUGGACUCUGAUUCCUGAAGCAGGAAACUGAAGAAGACCACUGCUAUGGUUGGAGGUAAUGAAAGUCAGAUUUUCCAGUUUGGGGAAUUCUUUGAAAUGUUCCUGUGGGACCAGCCCUUGCUGGUAGCAUCCUAAGCUAAUGGAAAAGCUGUAUUUUCUCUCUUCCUUAGUUUCAACUUCAAAUCUCUGAGCUUUGCUGUGCCUAUUUGUACAUUUGUAGGACCACAUGAAGGCUCCCACAUGGAGCAGGGCCUAGACUUCCACCUGCUGUGGUCAGCAAGCCAUGCCCUCUGGGUGGGGGAUUUUGGCUGCCCAAGGGGCAUGCUUUUUCUCUCAUCCUCACAAUGUAUCCCACAGGUUUAUGGCUGUGAAUUUGAUCCACUGAAGCUUCCUGCUACACCAGCUACCUAAAGAUCCUGGACCAGGAGAUUAAGAAGCAAAUGACGUCUCCUUCGUGUUACCUGACACAGGAAACCCUAGUGGAGAC